AACCUUGCGCAGUGGCAAUAUCGUAAUCAAUGAAGUUCUACUGAGAUGCGAUUAUUGCUAGUUGAAACUUUAAGAGCUAUUGUAUCCCCCAUUCUCUGCCCAACGAACACCGGUGAGUCCUAGUUCACCAAGAAACUUUCAGGCCCGGUUUCAAUGG
rnacentral:snRNA from 13 species